CCAGCGGCCGUUACCACUUAGAGCGCGGUGGCGGUGGGAAGCGAACGGGGUGCGGAAAGCGGAAGUCUCCGCGGGACCGGCUGUUCCCGUGGAGGGAUGGAGAUCCGUCGCGCCGCACCUCCUAGCCUUAGUACUCGUUUACUUCUUGGGCUCUCGGGCUUAGAUACGUGGAGAAAAAGAGGGACUUCCAGCUCGCGGUGUCCUCUUGAGGUCGCCCAGAAGGUUUGGUGGUGAGAACCGGAUUCCUAAAGAAGAGCUUACAGCCCUCUGGAAAUUGAACUUGGGAAAAGCCUCCCUGGCCAGAAAAACCCUUUUGAUCUGUGAUUGUAGAGCCCGAAUUUCUGCCCAAAGCCGAGUGUUGGACACUUCAGCCAAAGCUGUCCCAGUCUGAUCUUUGAAAUGGGACACACCGCCCAGCCUGGGUUCCGUCUAUGCCUGGCGCUACACCCAUGAUGCCUACGAGUGGGCUUCCUCCUGCUCUUAAGUAUGUCUUAGUCCUUCGGCUGCAACGUAUGAAUCUCUGUGAGCUGUACAUUUGCCUGGCACUCCUAUGUUGACAAAGGAUCACUCGACUUCUAGCAAAUAAUAGAACAUGGAAAACAGGAUGGCAGUCACCUCAACACCAGGAUGUAGGCAACAGUAACUGACAGGAUGAUGGUCUCAUCCUGUUGCUCCAGGAACACCUUUCAAGAGCUAAGGAUUGUAUAUUGGACUUUACCAAUACCUCUUGGUGACUAGAAAAUUCCUGGAAAGGAAGAGCAGAAUGGGAGAGAGCUGCAGAGAGUGUUCCUGUCUUCUCCUCCACUACCCUUCCUGCAGUUUUUCCUUGCUGCUGGCCAAAUCCCAGAGAGACUUCACCCUACCGGUCUACUCACUUUAAGAGAAAUCGUAGACAUUAACUUUUAAAAAGGAAUCUAUGAACUCAUGGUAACACUUG